GGAGCCAAGAGCAGAGCGCCAGCAUGAACUUGGGGGUCAGCAUGCUGAGGAUCCUCUUCCUCCUGGCUGCAACUUACAAAUGCUUCUGGGCUAAAGGAGAAUAGGAAGGGUCAUGGCAGAAGGAGCUUCGGGCUUGGGAUCUAGAAACAUCUGGGUGUAAACUGUGGCUCCAUUGCUGAUAAACUAGAAUAAGCUUCUGAAACUCCCUAACUUUCUGAACCAAUGAGAUGGGAGAUAAUCAUGUUUACUUUUUGGGAUUUCAAGAGAGUUAAGUUAAAUUUAAUUAAGUCAAAUCAAAAUACUGACAUAGAAUGAGAACAUGUAGGCAUGUAGAUACUGGUAUACAUUUAAUGUUGAAUCAGAAUUCUCAUGCAGUGAAGCAGACUCUUUGCUACUCAGAGGUAUCUUUGUUUUUAAAAAUUAUCUUUAAUGCAUUCCUUGAAAGAAGGAAGAAAGGAGAGAGGCAAAGACUAAAACAAAGUAGGGCCAAAUGGAGGAGAGAAAUAUAAAGUCAGAGAAGUAGACAGAGAGGAAGAAACUCAAAGAGAGAGAGAGAGAGACAGACAGAGACAUAGAGAGAUGGUUAGAAAUAUGCAUAGAUGGAGACAGAGAUGGAGAGAGACACAUGCCUUUACGAAGUCCCCUCUGAUAUCAACUGUUGUUUCCUAAAAAGGCAGCAUACGUCCCUCAUAUAUACAAAGACGUUCCUUCCCAGAACUUGCACUGGGC
rnacentral:lncRNA from 10 species